CCUUCUGGUCGGGGACAACCACUGGAAACGGUGGCUAAUACCGGAUAUGCCUUCGGGUAAAAGAUUUAUUGCCAGAAGAAGAGCUCGCGUCUGAUUAGCUAGUUGGUAGGGUAAAAGCCUACCAAGGCAUCGAUCAGUAGCUGGUCUGAGAGGACGAUCAGCCACACUGGGACUGAGACACGGCCCAGACUCCUACGGGAGGCAGCAGUGGGGAAUUUUCCGCAAUGGGCGAAAGCCUGACGGAGCAAUACCGCGUGAGGGAGGAAGGCUCUUGGGUCGUAAACCUCUUUUCUCAGGGAAGAAGAAAGUGACGGUACCUGAGGAAUCAGCCUCGGCUAACUCCGUGCCAGCAGCCGCGGUAAUACGGAGGAGGCGAGCGUUAUCCGGAAUUAUUGGGCGUAAAGCGUCCGUAGGUGGCUCUUCAAGUCUGCUGUCAAAGAGUGGGGCUUAACUCCAGAAAGGCAGUGGAAACUGAAAGGCUAGAGAGCCGUAGGGGUAGAGGGAAUUCCCGGUGUAGCGGUGAAAUGCGUAGAGAUCGGGAAGAACAUCGGUGGCGAAAGCGCUCUACUGGACGGUAUCUGACACUGAGGGACGAAAGCUAGGGGAGCGAAUGGGAUUAGAUACCCCAGUAGUCCUAGCCGUA
rnacentral:rRNA from 1 species